rnacentral:rRNA from 1 species
GACGAACGCUGGCGGCGUGCCUAAUACAUGCAAGUCGAGCGGACUUAAAAAGCUUGCUUUUUAAGUUAGCGGCGGACGGGUGAGUAACACGUGGGCAACCUGCCUGUAAGACUGGGAUAACUUCGGGAAACCGGAGCUAAUACCGGAUAAUCCUUUCCUACUCAUGUAGGAAAGCUGAAAGACGGUUUACGCUGUCACUUACAGAUGGGCCCGCGGCGCAUUAGCUAGUUGGUGAGGUAACGGCUCACCAAGGCGACGAUGCGUAGCCGACCUGAGAGGGUGAUCGGCCACACUGGGACUGAGACACGGCCCAGACUCCUACGGGAGGCAGCAGUAGGGAAUCUUCCGCAAUGGACGAAAGUCUGACGGAGCAACGCCGCGUGAGUGAUGAAGGUUUUCGGAUCGUAAAACUCUGUUGUUAGGGAAGAACAAGUACGAGAGUAACUGCUCGUACCUUGACGGUACCUAACCAGAAAGCCACGGCUAACUACGUGCCAGCAGCCGCCGUAA